UGGGGAAUAGUCUAGCGGUAGGACGGCGGACUCUGAAUCCGUUAGGGUAGGUUCGAAUCCUACUUCCCCAGCCA
rnacentral:tRNA from 1 species